rnacentral:rRNA from 1 species
CACUGUGGAAUUCGCCCUUCCUACGGGUGGCUGCAGUGGGGAAUAUUGGACAAUGGGGGAAACCCUGAUCCAGCGACGCCGCGUGAGUGAAGAAGUAUUUCGGUAUGUAAAGCUCUAUCAGCAGGGAAGAAAAUGACGGUACCUGACUAAGAAGCCCCGGCUAACUACGUGCCAGCAGCCGCGGUAAUACGUAGGGGGCAAGCGUUAUCCGGAUUUACUGGGUGUAAAGGGAGCGUAGACGGCACUGCAAGUCUGGAGUGAAAGCCCGGGGCUCAACCCCGGGACUGCUUUGGAAACUGUGGUGCUAGAGUGCAGGAGAGGUAAGUGGAAUUCCUAGUGUAGCGGUGAAAUGCGUAGAUAUUAGGAGGAACACCAGUGGCGAAGGCGGCUUACUGGACUGUAACUGACGUUGAGGCUCGAAAGCGUGGGGAGCAAACAGGAUUAGAUACCCCUGUAGUCAAGGGCGAAUUCCACAUUGGG